rnacentral:rRNA from 1 species
UACGAAGGGGGCUAGCGUUGCUCGGAAUUACUGGGCGUAAAGGGCGCGUAGGCGGAUAUUUAAGUUAGAGGUGAAAGCCCAGGGCUCAACCCUGGAAUAGCCUUUAAUACUGGAUAUCUUGAGUUCGGGAGAGGUGAGUGGAACUCCGAGUGUAGAGGUGAAAUGCGUAGAUAUGCGGAGGAACACCGAUGGCGAAGGCAAUCCCCUGGACCUGUACUGACGCUCAUGCACGAAAGCGUGGGGAGCAAACAGG